rnacentral:snRNA from 1 species
UCACUUUAGCAGUGCAUAUACUAACAUUAAAACAAUACAGAGAAGAUUUGCAUGAUCCCUGAGCAAGGCUAACAUACAAAAUUUGUGAGACAUUCCAUAUAUAU